rnacentral:rRNA from 1 species
UACGGAGGGUGCGAACGUUAAUCGGAAUUACUGGGCGUAAAGGGCGCGUAGGUGGUUCUGUAUGUCUACCGUGAAAGCGUACGGCUCAACCGUAUUUUGUCGGUAGAAACUGCAGGACUUGAGGCUGGGAGGGGCUGGUGGAAUUCCCUGUGUAGCGGUGAAAUGCGUAGAGAUGGGGGAGAACACUCGUGGCGAAGGCGGCCAGCUAGACCAGUUCUGACACUGAGGCGCGAUAGCGUGGGGAGCAAACAGG